UUAAGUCUGAAUGUGAGUCUGUUUUGCAGAACUAUCAGAAUUUUACUAAAGCUUCCUAACUAUUACCUGCUAAAAGAUGAGAAGCCUUCCUAUUGGAUAAAACUAUGCAGCUGACUCUAUACUCCAUUUCUGUGCAACAGAGAAAAACAGGGCCGGGAAAAUAAUGGCUCACAGGGUAAAGUGCCUGCUGCACAAACGUGAGAACCUGAGUCUGGGACCCCAGCUCCUGUAUAAAGAGCAGAAUUGGUGCUGUGCAUCUAUCACCCCAGCACUGGGGGCUGAAGAGGGGCAUGAGGCAGGUGGCAGUUGCUUGUCAGUCUGUCCAGUGGAAACAGCAAGCAGUAAGUGCCAGGUUCAGAGAGAGCCCCUGCUUCAAAUGGUAAGUCAAAGAAACAACCGAGGAGGACAUUCAGACGUCAGCCUCCGGCCUGCACACAUGCCCUCACAGAUGAACACACUCCUCCUCCAUAUACUCACACACUCAGAUGCUAUAGUGGCCUGCUUGUUUCCAGACUUAGCUGUAAAUUCUUAUCUGGAUAAGUCCUCCUGGUAUCAUGUUAUUGGAAGUAUCUUAUCUCCAAACCUCACGAGUGCCAUCAUCUGCAGGACCCGCUGCGAAUAGUGAAAUAGGAAAACUCAGGAGUCUAUAGAAUGGAACCCUAGUUACCCCAUCCCCUUGGCCGAUUACCUGGUUAUAUGCUCACUGUCCUUUCUUACCUCCACUGCUUCUUGGGAACUGCAACAUCUUGUUAGUCCAGAGGCAGAGGCUAGGUGAGUGAUAUGUCUCAAUCUGAAGUCUAUCUGUAUGUUAAAAACAAUGUUGUGGGGAUAGGGAUGUGGCUUCAUUGGUAGAAUGCCUGCCUGGCAAGCGCAAAGGCUAGACUCCAUCACCAGGAGUGCAUAAACUUGGCAGGAAAUGGAGGCAGGAGGAUCAGGAGCUUCAAAGCCCUCAGGUACAUGGAGAGUUCAAGGCCAGCAAGUGCUGUAUGAGGCCCCAUCUCAAGGAAAAGAGAAGGAACUCUGUACUGCCACAGAUCAGUCAAAUUUAUCUGUUCUCAUGCAGAGCGGAGUUAAAUGAAACAACUCAGCUUUGUUUCACACAGCGCUGAUUUUCAUUUGGACAGUUGGAUGCUUCUCAAUUCUUUCCGUCAUCAGAUAAUUCCUAAGGCCUUAUCCAUAAUGGUUUUGGAGGAAUGUGAGCUAAGGGUGAAGACAUAUGGGCCCCGAAGUCAGGUUGGACACUGAAGUAUUUCUUGAAGAUCCCUCCUUCCUUUUUUACAAUUUUACCUUUGUUCUUCUUAUGUGUCAUAACGCUUUUCUCCAAUUCAUAUUUCUACCACUUCUGUUUAAAAAACAUAAUCACUAUUCCCUGUGCUUAGCCUGGUACUUGCUCUCGAGUAUAACCACCCAAAUUGAUGUUCUGUCUCUCACUGUGAUUUCUCCACAGGAGACACGGGACUAGUCACAGGGACAGUGCUAUCCUUUCACAUUCCACUGAGUUUCACACCUGCAAGGCAGCCCUGCUAUUAUCUCUCUACAGGACUUGUCUCUGUAUUAGUUUUCUAUUACUACCUAGGCUUAGUGCACACCUUAUCUCUUGUGAGUCAGAAGUCCAUACUCAUCUGAGCUACACUGUCUUCUCAGUAUCCCACAUGACUCCUACGGAAGUGUCAGAGGCAGCAGGAGGGGAAGAUUUGCUUCCAACCUGACUCAAGUUUCUACCAGAAUAAAUUCCCUCAUAGCUGUGGGACCCAAGCCUCCCAAGGUGUUGCUCACUGUCCCUGGAUUGUGCUUUUCUCUUGGGGGUUCCACUUGGAUCCCUACCACAUGGUCCCUUCAGAAGUCCUCUCACAUUUCCAUUCUCCUAGUUAGCACCUUUAGAGAUGUGACUAGAUGUGGCCCAACAAGAUAACUCUUUUGUCAUAUACAUAAUAUGGUCACGGGAGUGACAUCUAACUAGAUCCUUGGAUACCACCUAUGCUCAGUGGAGAGAAUUAACUAUAAAAGAGCAAAGUCAGGCUGGGCAGUGGUGGUGCAUGCCUUUAAUCCCGCACUCAUGAGGCAGAGGCAGGUGGACCUGUGGGUUCGAGGCCAGCCUGGGCUAUAGAGUGAGUUCCAGGAAAGGCUCCAAAGCUACACAGAGAAACCUUGUGUCAAAAAAAACCAAGAAAAAUAAAAAAGCAAAGUCUCAAGAGUCAUAUUCAAACCCUGUUGACUAUAUCUUCUCUUUAUUCUCUGCUGGGCAAAGUACCAUUGAUGAUCUAGGAAUUAAAACACACAUCCUGCUUACGCUGUCCUGAUACAUGCAGGCUGAGGUUCUAGGCACGGUUCCACGUUUGUCACGAUACCAUUACAUUUAUCACCUCCUAUUCCUUCUAUCUACAUACAUGGUGGACUACGUCAAGACGUAAGAAAUUGAAAUACUGUGGGAUUCUCAAUUUCCUUCUGCAUACUCAGAUCCCGCAUUCUAUGUCUUGGGUGUUAAAACUCCUUUCUUUGGUUUGCAGAGCCUGAAGGGGAGCUGUGAGGGUUGUUUAGCAGAAGGGUUGUUUGGAGGCUCACUACCAAAGGAAGAGUAAGUUCCCUGCACUGGGUAUGCUACCCUAUAUGCUCAAAGCUCAUUCCUUUCCUGCUAGAGCCAAGGACACACUGCAGCUCCAAAUACGAAGUAACAGAACGGCUCACAUGCACCAGGCAUCUGGAGUCUCUCAUAAAGGUUGCUACCCCGUGAGAAAACGUCCUCAAGAAUGGGCUAGAAGCACAUCGCUGAAAAGUGCUUGAACCAUCAUGCGCAGUUCAUCUUGGAUUCUCUUGAAGGGCCUCGUUGAUAUCCAGCUGGCAGAUCCUCAGUCUGUUGUCAAGAGGCUCCCAACAUAAUCAGCAUCUCCUGCAGCUGCUGACAGACACAAUGAGUGGAUGAACCAAAAGGUUAAUGGAAGGGGACCGGUGAAUCCAGUUUGACCUGGAGUAAAGGAAACAAGGCCAGAAGUUGAGCAAGAGUGACAUGCAAGCAGAGAGUCAAAAGGACUUUAAAGGGGCUGGACACAAAGUCAGGAGAAAAGAAUGCAAG